ACCAAAUGUAACCAAGAGUUUGACCAAAAAAUCCUAGCUUGCACUUUCUGUCUGUCUUCCAUCAGAGUGCAGUUUGUCCUUGUCCUCAUAUUUGCGUUUACUAUUGUGGAACUGGCAAACACC